AAUUAUCACAACUUUCAACAAUGGAUCUCUUGGUUCUGGCAUCGAUGAAGAACGCAGCGAAAUGCGAUAAGUAGUGUGAAUUGCAGAAUUCAGUGAAUCAUCGAAUCUUUGAACGCACAUUGCGGCCAUAGGUAUUCCUUUGGCCAUGCCUGUUCGAGCGUCAUUUA
rnacentral:rRNA from 1 species